UACGAAGGGGGCUAGCGUUGUUCGGAAUUACUGGGCGUAAAGCGCACGUAGGCGGAUUGUUAAGUGAGGGGUGAAAUCCCAGGGCUCAACCCUGGAACUGCCUUUCAUACUGGCAAUCUCGAGUCCGAGAGAGGUGAGUGGAAUUCCGAGUGUAGAGGUGAAAUUCGUAGAUAUUCGGAGGAACACCAGUGGCGAAGGCGGCUCACUGGCUCGGUACUGACGCUGAGGUGCGAAAGCGUGGGGAGCGAACAGG
rnacentral:rRNA from 1 species